ACGGGAGGCAGCAGUGGGGAAUUUUGGACAAUGGGGGCAACCCUGAUCCAGCCAUGCCGCGUGUGUGAAGAAGGCCUUCGGGUUGUAAAGCACUUUCGGCCGGAACGAAAUCGCGCGAUCUAAUAAGUCGCGUGGAUGACGGUACCGGAAGAAGAAGCACCGGCUAACUACGUGCCAGCAGCCGCGGUAAUACGUAGGGUGCGAGCGUUAAUCGGAAUUACUGGGCGUAAAGUGUGCGCAGGUGGCCGCGCAUGUCGAGUGUGAAAUCCCCGGGCUUAACUUGGGAAUUGCGCUCGAAACUACGUGGCUCGAGUGUGGCAGAGGAAGGUGGAAUUCCAGGUGUAGCGGUGAAAUGCGUAGAGAUCUGGAGGAACACCGAUGGCGAAGGCAGCCUUCUGGGCCAACACUGACGCUCAUGCACGAAAGCGUGGGGAGCAAACAGGAUUAGAUACCCUGGUA
rnacentral:rRNA from 1 species